GUUACUACCUCCAAAAUAAUUCUUUGCUAUCUCAACCUCCUUGCUUGUUUCAACCUUCGACUCUUUGUUCAGAUUAAAUGAACCGGCCUCCACUAAGACCACCCCUCCCUCUUCUGUGUUUCCUCCAUUUAUUAAACCCAUACACCAACACCAUUAUUUUUUUUAAAAUUCAUUAUUAUUUGAUUCAAAUUUAAUCAAGGUAUUAGACAUAUUAACGGAUAAAGGGGUGAUUUAUUGACUUGGUGCGAACAAGGGGGGGAAUCAUGGACAAUUGGCUCCGCAGAUUGGUGUUGAUUUGGGUGAGUUGACCAGGUAAGGGCUAGGUGGUGGGGCAAUGAAUGUGAUGAAAUGAGUGUGAGUGAGGUGGUGAGGGACUGAUUGGGUUUGAGCUGGAUCUAGUGGUGGGAACCAAUUUCACAUGCUUGCACAUGAUGUCUUAACUUAGUUACCCUCCCAACUUCAUCAGCAUUUUUUCAUUUCUAUUCACUAUUUUGAUGAGUGGCCACUGCCCUAUCCCCAGGGUAAGGAUUUUGGACACUAAUUAUUCCACUCAACUCCACUCCCUCCUUAGCUAUUUUCUCCACUUAUGAUUAGCCAUAUCUUUGUCAUUGUCUAGCUAGUGCCUAAUAGCGUACAAAUCGUUCCAUUUAUUAGGAAACCGUGUCUUCAGCAAAUCGAUGGAGAUAUGUUUUGGUUCCAAGUACGUUGAUUUUGUGUCAACAACUAAUUAGUUAUAGAGGAGUUGGAGCGUUUAAAUACAACUUUGAGUUUUAUAGAUUAAAAAGCAGCAUUAAGAUAUUUUAUUUUCCAUUAGAGAUUUGAGUUUGAUUUUGCAUUUAAUUAAAAUUCAAUAUUAUUAUUAUUAAAUAUUGAAAAAUUUUGAGCUAAAACAACAAUAGCUUUCAACGAAUCCAAAUCAUUACUAGAAAUUAGGUGACAACUUCACCUUUUUUAAAAUUUCAAACUUAGGUUAAUCAAUUCAAAAAGUUCAUAUCAUUGUUUACAAAAUAAUAAAUACAUAAUUUUAUAUUAAUAUUAAUAUAUUUUAUAAUUAAAUUUAAAUAAAAUUAUUAAAAAAUUAAUUUAAAUUCGAAUCAAGCGUGCAUGAUAUCGGUAAAGUUUUUUUUUUUUAGUUAUGGUGAGAAAUAAAGAAAUUAUAGUUUUCAUCAUUUUACCAAUUUCACAUUUGAUAUUUCUUUUUUCUAACAAUCUUAUUAUAGGUUGUAAUUAUAUUUGCUCCUUUUUACACAAUAUAUUGAGAACUACUCGUAGUAAUGCGAGUCUCAAGGCCUAAUUUCAGACCCAUGAAUGUGAUGGGCUCAUAUUACAUCAAGACCCAACAACAAUGUCAAAGGCCAAGCAAAUCAAACCAAGAUUCAAUCAAAUGUAAUAUUUGAGGAUGAAUCUUUUCGAGGAAAGGGGGAAUGAUACAUGCAUGGAUGGGGUUUGUUUCUUGUGCAUGAUUUCUUUCUUAUGAUUUUUAGAAGUAGUUUUCUUCUCGAUUUUCUUCAAUGAGUCAUGGAAAUUCAUUCUUCACCCUUCAAUUUGUCAAUGAUUAUUUCUUGGGGGAUUGAUUAGAGUUAUUAAUUGAGUUUGUUGGGAUUUAUAUCUCAAAGGAUUUAACUGGGCAUUUAUCCUUCUAUCCAUCAUAACCAUCAGUUUACUCGUCCAUCUUCCACUUUAUUCUUUUUUAAUUUCUAUUUCUUAUUUAUUUAUGAUUUUAUAUGCUUUUUUAUUCUCAAAUUUCUUAUUUUACUAUUUUUGAUUUCUUUAUUACUAAAUUUGUUCAUUUCUUUUUUCAGAUCAUAUCCAAAUCUUUUCUUUUCGAGUUGAACAUCUUGAAUAAUAUCCUCGAUCCACUUCUGCAUUCAUUCACCUCAUUCCUUAUCAUUUGGUAUCAAAUUUGCGCAUUUUAGGUGUUCUUUUUGUUUUUAUAAACUGAUUUCCAACAAACAGUCUCAAAACAAUUUUUUACCCUGAAAUACCCAAUUUUGGCCCGGGCUCACAAAAAAAACCCAAAGUAAUAUCAUUUGGCCCGAUCGGAAUUGCCCAUUACUUGAAAAGGUUGAAGGUCCAUCUACAAGCUUAUGGAAACAUAAUCUUCAGGGAUAUGCAAUCUUAGAUAUGAUAUGCAAUCUUAGAUAUAAUAUAUAAUCUUAGAUAUGAUAUGCAAUCUUAGAUAUGAUAUAUAAUCUUAGAUAUGAUAUGCAAGAAGAUAUGAUUUUGUAAUCUUAGAGAUUUAAUUUGUAGAUACCCUUUAAU
rnacentral:lncRNA from 1 species